rnacentral:rRNA from 1 species
UACGUAGGGUGCAAGCGUUGUCCGGAAUCAUUGGGCGUAAAGAGCGUGUAGGCGGCCAGAUAAGUCCGCUGUGAAAACUCGAGGCUCAACUUCGAGCUGUCGGUGGAAACUAUUUGGCUAGAGUCCGGAAGAGGAGAGUGGAAUUCCUGGUGUAGCGGUGAAAUGCGCAGAUAUCAGGAAGAACACCGACGGCGAAGGCAGCUCGCUGGGACGGUACUGACGCUGAGGCGCGAAAGCGUGGGGGAGCGAACAGG